rnacentral:lncRNA from 1 species
CGAGAACGCGGGGGAGUUCUUCCGGGACCAGGGCCGGCAGGUGUACCUGUCCCGGCCGCCUGCCUGCCCGCAGGGCCUAUAUGAGCUGAUGCUUCGGUGCUGGAGCCGGGAGUCUGAGCAGCGACCACCCUUUUCCCAGCUGCAUCGGUUCCUGGCAGAGGAUGCACUCAACACGGUGUGAAUCACACAUCCAGCUGCCCCUCCCUCAGGGAGCGAUCCAGGGGAAGCCAGUGACACUAAAACAAGAGGACACAAUGGCACCUCUGCCCUUCCCCUCCCGACAGCCCAUCACCUCUAAUAGAGGCAGUGAGACUGCAGGUGGGCUGGGCCCACCCAGGGAGCUGAUGCCCCUUCUCCCCUUCCUGGACACACUCUCAUGUCCCCUUCCUGUUCUUCCUUCCUAGAAGCCCCUGUCGCCCACCCAGCUGGUCCUGUGGAUGGGAUCCUCUCCACCCUCCUCUAGCCAUCCCUUGGGGAAGGGUGGGGAGAAAUAUAGGAUAGACACUGGACAUGGCCCAUUGGAGCACCUGGGCCCCACUGGACAACACUGAUUCCUGGAGAGGUGGCUGCGCCCCCAGCUUCUCUCUCCCUGUCACACACUGGACCCCACUGGCUGAGAAUCUGGGGGUGAGGAGGACAAGAAGGAGAGGAAAAUGUUUCCUUGUGCCUGCUCCUGUACUUGUCCUCAGCUUGGGCUUCUUCCUCCUCCAUCACCUGAAACACUGGACCUGGGGGUAGCCCCGCCCCAGCCCUCAGUCACCCCCACUUCCCACUUGCAGUCUUGUAGCUAGAACUUCUCUAAGCCUAUACGUUUCUGUGGAGUAAAUAUUGGGAUUGGGGGGAAAGAGGGAGCAACGGCCCAUAGCCUUGGGGUUGGACAUCUCUAGUGUAGCUGCCACAUUGAUUUUUCUAUAAUCACUUGGGGUUUGUACAUUUUUGGGGGGAGAGACACAGAUUUUUACACUAAUAUAUGGAC